CGGUAGCACAGAGAGCUUGCUCUCGGGUGACGAGCGGCGGACGGGUGAGUAAUGUCUGGGAAACUGCCUGAUGGAGGGGGAUAACUACUGGAAACGGUAGCUAAUACCGCAUAAUGUCGCAAGACCAAAGUGGGGGACCUUCGGGCCUCAUGCCAUCAGAUGUGCCCAGAUGGGAUUAGCUAGUAGGUGGGGUAACGGCUCACCUAGGCGACGAUCCCUAGCUGGUCUGAGAGGAUGACCAGCCACACUGGAACUGAGACACGGUCCAGACUCCUACGGGAGGCAGCAGUGGGGAAUAUUGCACAAUGGGCGCAAGCCUGAUGCAGCCAUGCCGCGUGUGUGAAGAAGGCCUUCGGGUUGUAAAGCACUUUCAGCGGGGAGGAAGGCGAUAAGGUUAAUAACCUUGUCGAUUGACGUUACCCGCAGAAGAAGCACCGGCUAACUCCGUGCCAGCAGCCGCGGUAAUACGGAGGGUGCAAGCGUUAAUCGGAAUUACUGGGCGUAAAGCGCACGCAGGCGGUCUGUCAAGUCGGAUGUGAAAUCCCCGGGCUCAACCUGGGAACUGCAUUCGAAACUGGCAGGCUAGAGUCUUGUAGAGGGGGGUAGAAUUCCAGGUGUAGCGGUGAAAUGCGUAGAGAUCUGGAGGAAUACCGGUGGCGAAGGCGGCCCCCUGGACAAAGACUGACGCUCAGGUGCGAAAGCGUGGGGAGCAAACAGGAUUAGAUACCCUGGUAGUCCACGCCGUAAACGAUGUCGAUUUGGAGGUUGUGCCCUUGAGGCGUGGCUUCCGGAGCUAACGCGUUAAAUCGACCGCCUGGGGAGUACGGCCGCAAGGUUAAAACUCAAAUGAAUUGACGGGGGCCCGCACAAGCGGUGGAGCAUGUGGUUUAAUUCGAUGCAACGCGAAGAACCUUACCUGGUCUUGACAUCCACAGAACUUAGCAGAGAUGCUUUGGUGCCUUCGGGAACUGUGAGACAGGUGCUGCAUGGCUGUCGUCAGCUCGUGUUGUGAAAUGUUGGGUUAAGUCCCGCAACGAGCGCAACCCUUAUCCUUUGUUGCCAGCGGUCCGGCCGGGAACUCAAAGGAGACUGCCAGUGAUAAACUGGAGGAAGGUGGGGAUGACGUCAAGUCAUCAUGGCCCUUACGACCAGGGCUACACACGUGCUACAAUGGCAUAUACAAAGAGAAGCGACCUCGCGAGAGCAAGCGGACCUCAUAAAGUAUGUCGUAGUCCGGAUUGGAGUCUGCAACUCGACUCCAUGAAGUCGGAAUCGCUAGUAAUCGUAGAUCAGAAUGCUACGGUGAAUACGUUCCCGGGCCUUGUACACACCGCCCGUCACACCAUGGGAGUGGGUUGCAAAAGAAGUAGGUAGCUUAACCUUCGGGAGGGCGCUUACCACUUUGUGAUUCAUGACUGGGGUGAAGUCGUAACAAGGUAACCG
rnacentral:rRNA from 1 species